rnacentral:rRNA from 1 species
CCGCAGAGACUGCGGAGGACAUUAUUGAGUUCCAAUCGGGUGAGAUUGUUGCUGGCCUCUUUGGCAUGUGCACGUCUCUCUCGUUUUCUUCUCACCUCUGUGCACUUUUCACAGGACAGGUGGUGGCUGUGGGGCCCUUGUGCCUUUUGGCUGCAGCUUGUUUUUGUGUGCUUCACAAACCUAUGAAUCAGUUUAGAAUGUCUCUUGUGUAUUGACACAUUUGAAAUACAACUUUCAGCAACGGAUCUCUUGGCUCUCGCAUCGAUGAAGAACGCAGCGAAAUGCGAUAAGUAAUGUGAAUUGCAGAAUUCAGUGAAUCAUCGAAUCUUUGAACGCACCUUGCGCUCCUUGGUAUUCCGAGGAGCAUGCCUGUUUGAGUGUCAUGGUAUUCUCAAUCCCUCUGGUUCUUGCUGGAGCGGCAUUGGAUUUGGAGGCUUUGCUGGAAUUUUUGAAAUAUCAGCUCCUCUCAAUUGCAUUAGUGUGAAUGUUUGCUUCAUGCUUGAUGUGAUAAUUAUCUGCAUCGUGCUUGGGCAGCGUGACUUCAUGCUUCAAACUGUCGCAAGACAAUUCUUUGACUUCUGACCUCAAAUCAGGUAGGACUACCCGCUGAACUUAAGCAUAUCAAUAAGCCGGAGGAAA